rnacentral:rRNA from 1 species
CCAAUGCAGAAAUUAACCCCCGGUUCUUGUUAGAUCACCGAAGUCAAGCAUUAUUGGGCGCGGUCAGUACUUGGGUGGGUGACCACCUGGGAACACCGCGUGCCGUU